rnacentral:lncRNA from 1 species
UAAAUUCAUUUCGAAUUUCGAUUCAAUUUAGUCAAUUUAUUGAAUUAACCAUAAUUGAAAUUGAUUUGAUCAUAAUUUCAAUGCAAUUAACCAAUUAUUUUAUCAAUUUGGUUGAAAUUUAAAUUGAUUGACUAAGAAUCUGAAAUAUUGGUUAUUCAAUAAAUAAUUUAAUCCUACCAUUUGGCUAUAUUUUAAAUGACCCAAGAACCCUUUCUUAUAGUGGCCCAAGUCCCUACAGCAAUACAAAACAGCAACAGACAAGGCCCAAAGUACCCCCAGCCGCCCCAGCCCAUUCUACAAGACCCGGCCCAAAUCCUCACCUUUCCUCUUUAUUCCAUUACCACAAACGGGUAACAACAGCAAUACACGACAACAACACAGCCACGGCAAAAACCCAUUCAACUACAACAUUCAACAACAGCACACAACAGCGAUUUCAACAUCAACAUCGACGACCACCCCAGCAAACAACGUCAAAAUCACCAACCGCUCCGACCCGUAAAUCAACCCGACACCAUCGGCAGACCCAACUUCGGCCAACAAUGAUUAAUACCCGACCCAACACUGAAACUCAACCAACAAAGAUCCGAAAAUCACGGAACACUCUAUCUUUUCAUCUUAUCUCUGAAUUUUGAAUUUUGCAGGCCUAGGAGCCAUCUUUUUUGACUUUCUUGCUCAAGAUUGUGUGUUACAAAAUCCAAAAUCCAAUCCAAAUCAGAAUCCGAAUUUUAGGGAUAUGUCUUCUCUAUUUUUAAAGAGCAAAAUCAAUGUCUUCCCUUAUAAAUAGGGAUUGAGGGGAAGAAGGCAAGGAGAAGAAGAUUNNNNNN